AAGAAAGAUAGCGCAGGUGCUAGACAUGGUGAAAGGUAACAUGUAUAUUCUACUGUGAUUCCCCUUACCUUUGAAUUUGAGAUCAAUUGAAUUGGAUAUUGCCAUCAAAAGUGAAAAGGGAUUCAGUCCAGAAUUGGUAAAUCAGCUGUUGGGGUUUGUGUUGUAAUCAUGACAAUGCUAGGUAUGGCAGCUGUUGACGCUCGGUACUCUUUCAUUGUGCUGAAAUGAAACUAUCCCGCAUCUCAUAUUCCAGAAAAGAGAUUAUUGGUUUCUACUUUUGGUGUUGUGAAAUGUUGCAAUUUAUCAAAAUAGGAUACACAAUGUAAUUACCAC
rnacentral:misc_RNA from 1 species